UUAUUCUUUUUUUAUGAAAAGGGGGGGGGGCAUUAUUUAAUGAUUGCCAUACAGAGUUGGAUUAGGCUCAUUCUUAAAAUCUGUAAAUUGACUUGAUAGUUGUAUACAAUAUAAAAAAAAGAUGUGAUGACAUUAACAAAAGACAACCACUGAAUUAUAGGCUCCUGACUUGAGACAGGUACAUAACAUAAAUAAUGUGGCUGGGUUAAACAUGUUAGCG
rnacentral:lncRNA from 1 species